rnacentral:rRNA from 1 species
AUCUGGGCGGCGGAAUUCAGGAUGGCUGCGGGCGCUCGUUCGUUCGCGGCCGUUUGAUAUUUCCGUCGCCGUGUCGGACGUCGCGACCUGUUCGCCCGUCGGUCCCUGCUCGGAGGAAUCGCGAUCGAGCUCGUUGCGCGGUACGUUUCGGCGUGUCGCGCGGCGAAGACGCGACUCUCUGGCUGACGGCGGACAGUAAGCAACGGUGUCCGGCGUCGUGUCUCGCACUCGACGUCCGGUGCCGGUCUGCGACGAUUUCUUCGGGCCUCUUUCCGACCCGUCUUGAAACACGGACCAAGGAGUCUAACAUGCGCGCGAGUCGCGGGGCAUCGAGCGUACCACGGUGCGCUCGUCAUGUGCGAAACCCGUCUCUGAAAGGCGUAAUGAAAGUGAACAGGGAAGAUGGCGUUCCGAGACCACGUACCGUGAUCGAGUGUCGCGGCCGGACGUCCGCACUCCCGGGGCGUCUCAAUGGCUCGUCGCGGACGCGGACGAUCGUCUCUCCGGGGGCGGUGGUCGGUCUGCGUCGGACCGA